rnacentral:rRNA from 1 species
GUGUGUGAAGAAGGUCUUCGGGUUGUAAAGCACUUUUGGCAGGGACGAAGGUGACGGUACCUGCAGAAUAAGCCCCUGAUAUUUUCGUGCCAACAACCGCGGUAAUACUUCGGGGGCUAGCGUUGCUCGGAAUGACUGGUGCUAAAGGGCGCGUAAGCGGUUGUUACUAUCAGAAGUGAAAUUCCUGGGCUCAACCUGGGGACUGCUUUUGAUACUUAGCGACUAAAGUGCGGAAGAGGGUUGUGGAAUUUCCAGUGUAAAGGUGAAAUUCGUAUAUAUUGGAAAGAACACCGGUGGCGAAGGCGGCAACCAGGUCCUUUACUGACGCUGAGGCCCUGAACCGU